rnacentral:lncRNA from 1 species
GGCAUAUGGAAGUUCCCAGACUAGGGGUGGAAUCAGAGCUACAGCUGUUGGCCUAUGCCACAGCCACAGCAACACCGGAUCCAGACCACUCCUGCAACCUAUGCCCCAGCUUAUGGCAAUGCCAGAUCCUUUAACCCACUGAUCAAGGCCAAGGAUGGAACCCUCAUCCUCAUGGACACUAUGUCAGGUUCUUAACCUGAUGCACCACAACGGGAACUCCAGUUUUAGAUUUCUAAAAAGGUAAGCACAUCCCAACACUUACAAAACAAUUCCUAUAAUAUUUUUGAUCAUUCUCAAAUAUCUGUCCGCCACAUAUUGUAAAUGGGCAGGAAGUUAGCUUCUCAGAAUGUAAAUACAAUCUGUGAUUUUCUAGUGUGUUUGCUAUUCUUAGUUAAGAAAAUUAAUUGCAGAGCCUUAAGAAUAAGAGACAUUUGUAAAUUUUGCUGGGGGUGAGGGCACAGGUUAGGUCAAAUGAUCAGAAAAAGAUUAUGUAGAGAUAUGCGUCAUAGAGAAUUAUUGCUAGGUCCACUCUAUAGUUCCCGAGGCAACUGAGUGGCUUAAAAGAAUGACUCUUCUAAUAACGAGGAGAAAGCCGAAAGAGGGAGAUGGUGAGCAAAUGAUUGGUGAGCACUGCCAUUUUGCAAGAGUAAGGUCUUUCCCAUAAAUCCUAGAGAUGCUGGCCUGCUCCCAGGUCAGAGGGUCAUGAUUCAAAUGGCCAGAGGAACUGCCGUGUCCACGUUAAAUGAUAGCCCUCCUUGCUACAGGCCUACGAGGAGAUGGCAUUGAAGGAAAAAUAUCAACUAUCACUACUGUCCUCUGUGCUCACAUUGCCUGCUCCUCUCUCCCGACGGUAAGGAGGUGAAGAUGAGAGGAUCGCAACUGUACGAAGUUGGCUGGUGAAUGAGAAGACCACCCAAGGGCUGCACAAAAGAUAAAGGAAAGUGUGUCUCUUUCACAGGUGGUUGCAAGGGCAUUCAUUUCAUCCCACUCUUGUGUCACAGGUAUUAGAACCCACCUCCCUGUUCAUAGUCAACCCAGACUAGCUCCUCCUCGCUGCUUUGGGCAAUGUCUGCUGAUGGAAAUAAAUUGCUGAUAAUCAGGAAAUUUUUUUUCUGAGUGUGAAAGUUAAUAUUAUAGGGUGCAUAUGGGCAGAGACUCGGGAAGUAGCAUUUGUGUUAGGGUGGUGAGAUCAGGAGACAAUUUGUUUUUAUAUUUUACAUUUCCAUGGAUAUGGCUAUACCAUGGUAUUAAUCAUAGAUACAGAAACGGGGGGGGGGGAGAGCAAUUUGGUAUAUAUAAAUUGAUCUGCAACAAAAUAACUUCCACACGUUGCUCUCCAUAAGCAAAGGGAAGUCCCUCUUAUAUGUGUUCUCUGGGAUCACCCAUGGGAAGGAUCUGAAUUUCUGACAGUCUUAAAUGUGACAGCAGCCUUUUAGCAUGGAGACGAGUACAGUAAUUUGGCAGCAAAUCCAAGACUCAUGCUCAGCAGACUGGUAGAUCGGAAAUAAAUCACAGAUGUCACACACAUGCUCUCUUAGAAGGGAGAGAAUUGAUAAGGUGCCAAACCCUAUCACUCCCAGACCGUUCUUGUUCCAAUUGAUAGAACCUCUCACCCUUGAAAUUCUGACAAGUACUAUUAGGGAAAGAGAUUCUAACUCAUAUCUCUUCCUGACUCUUUAUCCAUCUUUCCAAACAGUUUCUAUCUGAGCUCAGUCUCAGGCUCAUUUAAUUAUGACAUCUGAAUCAAUACUCCAUACUAGACCCAGCCUGCACCAGCUUGCUUGGCAGCUUCCAAUAGCCAUGACAGCCUUUCUGAAAAUGUUCAUUUUCCCAUUUUGAAAGGAAGGUAUCCGGCUUAACAUUAGGUAUCUUUAUUUAUUUUUAAUUUUUAAAACCAGUUGUUCCUUACAGGCCUAGCAAGAAUUAACACAUAUUUUAAAAAAAAAAAUGUUGCAUUUUCUGAAUUCAGAUUCACUUUCUGUCUCUGAAAUGUUAAGCUGCAGACGAGAGAAAUGGAAAUGAAGCCAAUAGCAAUUUAAAUAAAUUACAAGCUGACAACAACCUGCCUUGGUGAUGUUUUAAAUGAAAUGUAUUAACUGCAAAGAUAUCAGAAUGCUUUAGAAUAUCUUAAGAGACUUCAUUUUGUUACUGUGGUGGAUUUGCAGAUACCUGCAGAUAAAGGAACAUAAGCAUGAGGGAGGCUUAGAAAAAAAAUUGCACAAAAAUGAUGUGCUAAAUUUGGAGGCUGAUUUGGUGAAUAAACACGAUCAGUUAACAUGAAUCAAUGUUUUUUAAAUACAGAAUGUACAUCUAAAGAGGACUUCUGGCGGAAAAGCUCUCUCCAUGUUAUGUACAUAAUAUAUAGUUAUGGUUAUACACUAAGAGCAUCUAUAAUGGCCUUGAAUCAGAACACUUAGAGGCUUGUCCCUGCGAACCAAAUCUGUGAGUCUAGUACAGAUUAUCUGGGGUCAGAGUCAUCUUGCCUAUCAAAUAUUUGCAGAGAAAAGAGAACUCAGGAUAACAAACCUUGAAGUUUGAAAAGUCUGUGAUUAUAAGGACAUCUCAAUGGUGUGUGCUUGGGCCUUUAAAAUACUCAUUAGGAAUUUGGGGACACUUUCUACAAGGUAGAGGCCUCUGUGUGUCUGUAAGCUAUAGGCUUAUAUGUGCUGAUAGGUUAUAUAGGCCUAUAUGUAUAUAUGGGAUAAAGUCCUGAACAUGUGUCUAAGGUACAUAGAGGCCUCUGUAAGCCCACACACUUUUAGGUCAGCAUGUGUCUAUACAGCACAGGUUUCUAAGGGUCUUAAAAGUAUAAACCAGUAUGUGUCCAUAAAGUGUAGGCUUAUAUGUGUCUAUCCAGUACAGAGCCGUGUAUUUAUAAGAUAUAGGCCUCCAUGCGUCUAUAAGGUAGAGAACUUUUUGUGUCAAGAGGGUAUGAGCCAAUGUAUGUCUACGAGGCUUAGGCUUCUAUGUAUCGAAACAAGAUAAAGGUCUCGAAUGUCUUAAAAAUAUCUGCAUGUGGUCAAAGAAUUAGCUACAUUACCCUGAUAAGAUUCUUUCCAGUUUUGGGAAUAAACUCCCUAAUUUUACCAUGAGGAACAAAAGAGACACACAGACACAUACUCACUCACAGAUGUACUCACACACAUACACACACACACACACAAAUAAAAUGACUCCUCAGAAGUGUCAGGGAGAACUCUGUAUACAAUAUAGUUUAUCUAUGACUUAAGUCAUAAAAUACAGACAUUCAUAGGUAAGCUCUUUUAAUCAUGAGCAAUUUAAAUGUGAUUACAGAAAAUCUUUUAAAUGAUGCUUUGGGAGCCGUCACAUCAAAGUCAAUUGUUUGGUGACUGUUUUUAAUGCUCCU